rnacentral:rRNA from 1 species
CGGGUGAGUAAUACAUCGGAACGUGCCCUGGAGUGGGGGAUAACUAGUCGAAAGACUAGCUAAUACCGCAUACGACCUAUGGGUGAAAGCGGGGGAUCGCAAGACCUCGCACUAUUGGAGCGGCCGAUGUCGGAUUAGCUAGUUGGCGGGGUAACGGCCCACCAAGGCGACGAUCCGUAGCUGGUCUGAGAGGACGACCAGCCACACUGGAACUGAGACACGGUCCAG